GAUGAACGCUGGCGGCGUGCCUAACACAUGCAAGUCGAGCGGGAUCUUCCCAAAUGAAACUUCGGUCGAAUGAAGGAAGUGAGAGCGGCGGACGGGUGAGUAACGCGUAGGCAACCUGCCCCUUGCAGAGGGAUAGCCACUGGAAACGGUGAUUAAUACCCGAUAGCAUUCAUUGGCGGCAUCGCUUAUGAAUUAAAGAUUUAUCGGUAACGGAUGAGGAUGCGUACGAUUAGCUAGUUGGCGGGGUAACGGCCCACCAAGGCAACGAUCGUUAGGGGUUCUGAGAGGAAGGUCCCCCACACUGGAACUGAGACACGGUCCAGACUCCUACGGGAGGCAGCAGUGAGGAAUAUUGCACAAUGGGGGAAACCCUGAUGCAGCAACGCCGCGUGAAGGAAGACGGUCUUCGGAUUGUAAACUUUUGUUCUUAGUGAAGAAACAUGACGGUAGCUAAGGAGAAAGCCACGGCUAACUACGUG
rnacentral:rRNA from 1 species